UGAACGCUAGCGACAGGCCUAACACAUGCAAGUCAGGGGCAGCACAAGGAGCAAUCUGAGGUGGCGACCGGCGCACGGGUGAGUAACACGUAUGCAACCUGCCUGUAAGCGGGGAAUAACCCGUUGAAAGACGGACUAAUACCGCAUAAUACUAAAUUAACUGCAUGGUAAUUUAUUUAAACAUUUAUGGCUUACAGAUGGGCAUGCGCAUGAUUAGCUAGUUGGAGAGGUAACGGCUCCCCAAGGCAACGAUCAUUAGGGGUUCUGAGAGGAAGGUCCCCCACACUGGUACUGAGACACGGACCAGACUCCUACGGGAGGCAGCAGUGAGGAAUAUUGGUCAAUGGACGAGAGUCUGAACCAGCCAAGUCGCGUGCAGGAAGAAUGUCCUAUUGGAUUGUAAACUGCUUUUGCAGGGGAAUAAAGUGCAUCACGUGUGAUGUUUUGUAUGUACUCUGCGAAUACGGAUCGGCUAACUCCGUGCCAGCAGCAGC
rnacentral:rRNA from 1 species